CAAAAAUUCAACAUAUUCUGAUUC
rnacentral:miRNA from 1 species